GACGAACGCUGGCGGCGUGCUUAACACAUGCAAGUCGAACGGAAAGGCCCUGCUUUUGUGGGGUGCUCGAGUGGCGAACGGGUGAGUAACACGUGAGUAACCUGCCCUUGACUUUGGGAUAACUUCAGGAAACUGGGGCUAAUACCGGAUAGGAGCUCCUGCUGCAUGGUGGGGGUUGGAAAGUUUCGGCGGUUGGGGAUGGACUCGCGGCUUAUCAGCUUGUUGGUGGGGUAGUGGCUUACCAAGGCUUUGACGGGUAGCCGGCCUGAGAGGGUGACCGGCCCAAUGGGACUGGGGAGAGGGCCCGGACGCCAAGGGGGGGAAGGGGGGGGAAAUUUUGCAAAAGGGGCGAAGGCCGGAGCAAGAAACCCCGGGUGGGGAAGAAGGGCCUUGGGGUUGAAAACGCUUUUCGCUUUGACCGAGGGGGGGUGACGGUAAAGGGGGAAAAAACCACGGGUAACUUCGUG
rnacentral:rRNA from 1 species